AAGUCGUAACAAGGUAACCGUAGGUGAACCUGCGGUUGGAUCAUUAAAAAUUGCAGCCAGUCUCUCACAGCCAGGUUUCGGGUCGUCUGAUCCAAAACCGCGUGCAGUGAAUGCGGCACCACCUUUUGUGAACCGUUCUGUCUUUGGUGGUGGGGUGGGAAGCCUUUUGGCGUCUCGCCUGUCAGCUCCGAUGUGAGCCGUGGGCAAGCCACCGAACUUUUUGCUUAAACCUUUGUCUUCUAUACUUUUGUCUGACAUUUUAUUUGUAUUAAUGUACAAACAACUUUUGGCAACGGAUCUCUUGGGUCUC
rnacentral:misc_RNA from 1 species